AACCUCGUAGUGUAGUAUGUAAUACGUCGGCUAUUACGUCGAAGGCGCAGGUUCGAUUCCUACUAAGGUUC
rnacentral:tRNA from 1 species